rnacentral:snRNA from 2 species
AGCUUUGCACAGUGGCAGUAUUGUAGCCAAUGAGGUUUAUCUGAGGCACGAUUAUAGCUAAUCAAAAGAUAUCUAUCUAUCUGUCUAUCCAUCUAUCCAUCUAUGUCACGUAUGUUGACACACAGGAAUGAAUAUCUGCUGGUGAGAUUUCA